GGCAUUCAUAGGUUGGGAUGACAACGUUGAUGCACGCAGCAGAGCAGUCUUCAGCUUCUCUCAGCUCUGCAGUGCUGUCAGCUGCACUGACUUCAAGGAGGCAGGCAGACUCCUACAGCUCAGGACCUCUGGGGAAUAAAUGCAAUGAGAGAAUUGAACUGGUUUUGUUGUGUUUUUUUUUCCACAGCUUCUGUCCUGGCAGUGCCUAAUCCCUUCUUCAUUUCUGAACUUCUCUUGGCAUACGAGAGCAACAGAGAGAAGAUGGGGCAGGCUUCGCGCAUAACAGCUGGAAAAAUUGAUUACAGAUAAACUGUGCCUGCCACCCAUGCCUUCCCCUGGGACUUCAUCUGCUGCAAUUCUACCAACGUGCUGCUGUCUCCCUAACAGGAAAAGCUCAUGUAUGAACAGUGCUGUUGUAAUAUAUUAAGAGUAGUGGGAAAGGCCGUGGAAGUGAGCCAUAAAUCUGGAGGUAAGAGCCAGGAGCAGCAGGGGCUCUGCUGUAUGCCAUUAAUAAAGAUGUUCCAGAGGCACAGCAGCACGUUGCUGUGGAUAUCGCUCCUCAGGUCUCCACCACAGCAGAGCUGGGCUUUGGUACACAGCAAGGCAAUCAGUCAAAUGCUCUCCACUAUUGUCAAAUGAUCCAAGUUGCUCUUGGUAAACACUGCUGUUAGCAGCAAGGUUAUCGUUCCUGCUUUUAUUUAAGAGUCCAGCUCCAUUUUUCACUGUAAUACAAGUUUUUCAAGAAAUUCCCCAUCUUGUUGAACAAUGCUGGGAAUGCUUUGUUUCCGCAUAAUUUGCCCCAAAAAUAGAGUGAGGUUUUACACUCUUUAGGGCCCCAGCCUUGGCUUUGUACUCAGCCUCCAGCACAACAGGCCUCUGGCUGGGAUUAAUACCAGCACAACACAGAUUAUUGAACGAGGAGAAUAAAGAGGCACGAGGAGGGUAUUUGAGUGCAAAAACUUAAAUGUGGUAGAGGAGUGCAUCUAUCUGGACAUCAAGGAUAGGGAACCAGGAGCUGUGAAUGCCAACAGAGCAGAAGAGGGCCAAGCUCUGCAGCUAGGCCUAACCCCAGUCAUCCCCUGUGAGCUAUGAGGAGGGAGACCUACAGGCAGAGCCCUGGAGAACAUGAGCAUUUGUGGGUUCCUUGGGUGGAAACCAAAUGCAAAUUGCGUUUUAAAGAAAGCAUUUAGCUAAAAUUAGCACCCAUAGCACCAUUAGUGUUGUGUCGGCUGUGACAGAAGGCACUGCUAAUUGCAAGUGAGCUUCCACCCCACUUGAUUAUCGUGGUGACACAUAGAUCAUUAACAUGACGGUCUAAACAUGGAGCAAAUUGUUUAAAUAUUAAACUGUCAACUCCUUCCUCUGAUCUCCAGAUCACUGCCUAAAACAGGGGGGGGAAAUGUGUGUGUAAAAGAUGAAUUGGGAGCUCUGCCACUGCCUGGCAUCACCCUGGUCCCUGUCAGCAUGGUGACUACAGCCAGCAGGCUGUGAAAUGGCAUUUUCUGAGAUCUGCUUUGAUGCAAAUGUAUUUAAUACUUGGUCACUGCUCUCCUGCAGGCCUCCAACGUGACUGGGCCUGCUCACUGACUCCAAGCAUCCAAAGCAAGAGAACUAGAUAACCUCUCAGAGUUCCUCCCAACUCUAACAAUUCUACAACAAAUAGGAAAGGAGAGAGAUCAUUUGCCAAGAAUCAACCUCACCUGCUGCAAAUCUGAGUGGAAACCUGUGGGGCAAAGAAAGACAACAACAGAGCCUUUCCCCAGGAUGCAAACACCAUAGAACAGGACAAUAAAAUAAGAACUGACUUACCUCCUUCCAGUGACCAGCAACAGCUCAAAAGGAGUGCAGCCUCCAACAGAUGCAGCUCCUUCGGCUUCUAGUCCUUAAAUGAGUGAGAGGUGGAUCUAAGCUUCACCCAUAUCAAUCACUCAGGUACAUUGAUUGCACCUGAACAACCUGGGUUAGCCAUAGCUGGUGCUCAGCCAUUGCUUCAGGCCCUGACCUGUCAAUUCUACUGCAGAGCCAUUCAGCUGCUGCAUACAGCCCUCCUUCUGACACAACAGGGGCAUUGGACCUAUGUGCAAACCCUACGCUGUUUUCCUAUUAGUCCUUAGGCCACAAAACAUCACAAACAUCCCUUGGAUGCUCAAAAUGUGGUAACUUGGAUAUUAGGAAGAAUUUAUUCUCAGAAAGAGCAGUGAUGCAUUGCCACAGACUGCCCAGCAAGGUGGUGGGAGGUGUUUAAGGAAAGAGUAGAUGUGGCACUGAGGGACGUGGCCCAGUGGGCAGUGUUAGUGGUAGGUGGGUGGUUGGAUGUUAGAGGUCUUUUCCAACCUUAAUGAUUCUAUGAUUCUAAGAUUCCGAGGCUACGGAAAUUGUUUAGCAGGAGAGCAAUGCUGUUGGGAGAAAAAUACAAACACAUUAAUGACAUUCAGCCAAAGGAUUAUCAAAGGCAAGGAACCCAGGGCACUUAUUUAGGAAAUUAUUCAAGGAGGAGACUCUAAGGGAUGUGAAUUCGUGGUUUCCUUCCUGCGUAAUACAGGAGAGCACAGGAAGGCAGCCCUUGAAUUCAUGGGUCAUAACCCUAUCUACCGAACAGCUUGAGUACGAUCAGUUUAAAAUGAGUCUCAGUGCUCUUCUGCUUUUCCCAAGAGCACAGAAAAAUUAAUCUACCACUGAAGUUUCUCUCUGUCUCAAGCUGUAAAAUACAAGUUUGUGCCGAUAAUUAUUUUGACAGCCGUCACACGUGCCUGUUGUGAAGGAUCAGCACAGACAGUUUCCAAUAUGAUGUGAACCUGUGGUAAUGGCUAAUUAGAAUGCAUUACACAGUCAGUCCCUACAGUUCUCUGUUCCUUAAGAAAAUCUGCAUUUCGGAAGAGAGCCUUAUAUUGGAUAUAUAGGGACAAAGUUGCCUGCAGAUUUCCAUUGUGCUACGCCAUACCCAUUUGUACCAAAGCAUUUUCUUCCGUAGCUCACCAAAUAUAGCAGCUUUCUUCAACACGGGAACAAGACUCAGAAAAGGCUUUGUCCUCGUUCUCCUUAUAGACAAGCAGGUACAAAAAUACCAAGCAAUACGUAGCAGGAGCAGAAGUGUUAGAGGUUACCUAAGGAAUUUCGUACAAUGCUACUUUGACGUCAGAGUUGUCUCAAAUACUACCUGCUGUCAGUGUAAUAUCUAGAGGGUGAGUAAAUCUGUUUCUCACACAGACUUCUCAAAACCAGACUCAGAAUGAGUUAGAAGCUUUUGAAUAGGACUCUGAUUUCUAAGUCACGUAAGUAUUUGCAAUGUUACCCAGAAUCAGGUUGCACGUGCAGACUAGUUUUAAGCAGCACAAACAUAUUCACAUUCUUCUGUGCUGGAGGUAUUAAUCCACAUAUGGAUAUUCAAUUACUAUCAGAGCAAACCAUUCACGUGCACUAGAAUCAGAUAAAAAUAUGCAAAGCAGGUGGCUUGAGGCUCAUUUGUACUGAAAUUCCUUCGGCUGUUUGAAGAGACUUUGUAAUGUCAGCAUACUCCCACCUGAGUACAUUCUUUACUGUGAGCAGAGUAAAGUGGCCUUCUUGUAUGUGAAAGUUAGAUCUGAAUAUGUUCGCUUCAAGGAUACAGGAUUUUUGUUUCAAGAUAAAAAUGACCAAAUAGGUAAAAUAACCUAAUUAUUGCCUUUCUUUCAAGGACUCAAGGAACUUAUACAGUGAGAAUCUGUGAAAAAUAAAUGGAAACCUGGAUUCUACUUCUCUAAUUUUCUCCUGCUCAUCUUUUAUCCUUUCUUUCUUUUUCUUCCUCAACUCCGUAUUAUCAUUCCUGCUGUCCUUAUCAGCAUUAUUGCUUUUGUUGGCCUCCAGUUCGGAGUCCUGCCACCCCGGCACCAUUUCAUCUCUCCAGAUGCAGAGUGGGGGUUUAGGAUAAAAUCUCAUCCUUUGGGAGUCCAUGGAGAUGCAUGGGAAAAAAAAUAAAAAAGCAGAUAAGAACAGUAAGUCUAUAAAUCUCUACGUCUAUAAAUCUUAAAAUGGAUUACUGAUUACAGUGACUCUUUAAUGGAAAGAGUGACAGCUCAUGUAGACAAAAGGCAGUGUAAUUCAUGGAGGCUAUUAAAUUUGAGAGGCCUUUUCAUUCUCAUUUGUCUUUCGAUGUUAUGUGUCGAUUUCUGGGAGAUUAUUCUCUGGGGAGGAUGAGCCCUACUCAUCAGAGCCUGAAAAGUGCCUGUGUUUAUUUGUCUGCUAUUUGCCAUGGUAGGCAAUAUGUUUGCUCCUCCUGCACCAGGAUGGACAACCCACAGUGCUAGUGGAGGCUAUGAGAGGGCGCCCAUCUGUCCUGUCCUGCUUGUUGUUUGUGAGAUCAUGCUGGAUACACCCACUGGGCUUUGGGGUUCAAAGGGGCCAAAACCCCAUCACAGGACAGCAGAACAGAUGCAGCCAAUCUCUCCAUGUCUGUGAUCAUCUGGAAUGUGCUGUGUCCAGACACCCCUCAUAGCAUGGCACAAAUAUCGUAGGACAGGAAUCACCCUUAUGGCAUGGGACACGGUGGUGGUGCUUUGUUCUAGGGGCUCCUCUGCUAGUGGGUUUGCAAUGGAACCAAGGUCUUGGAUAAUGGUCAUGGAUGGACCAUACUAUGGUCGAGGAACUGGUGGCGAGAUAGUACCCAGAAUGUAGUGGUCAAUGGCUCAAUGUCUGGGUGGAGAUCAGCGAUUAGUGGAGUUCCCUGGAGGUCGUUACUGGGACCAAUGCUCUUUAAUAUCUUCAUCAGUGACAUCAACAAUGGGAUUGAGCACACUCUUAGCAAGUUUGUGGAUCACACCAAGCUGUGUGAUGUGGUCAACAUGCGCGAGGGACAGGAUGCCACCAGAGAGGCCUAGACAGGCCUCUGAGAGUGGUCUCUCAGUACCUAAAAGGCCUAUAAGCAAGAGAAGGUCAGACUCUUUAGCGGGGUCUGUUGUGAUAGGAAAAUGGGAAAUGGUUUCAAAAUAAAAGAGAGGAGGUUUAGAUUAGAUGCAAGGAAAAAGUUUUGGUGAUAAAGGUGGUGAAGCACUGGAAAAGGCUGCCCAGGGAAGUUGUGGAUGCCCCAUCGCUGGAUGGGCCUCUGUGCAGCCUGAUCUAGUGGUUGGCAACUCUGUCUGUGACACGGGUGUUGGAACUAGAUGAUCUUUAAGAUCCCUUCCAGUCUAAGCCAUUCUAUGAGCCUAUGGUUCUAUGAGACUUUGAGCUGCUACUGACCAGCAAAAAAACAGCCUGAGUUUUUUAAAUGCUCAUUCAUCAGAGUAAGAGUGUAGAACAGCAAGUGGGCACCGGGGGAGUUUACAUCCCAAAGCACUCCCUUUGCCAAGGUUGCGUUCCUUCAUUUUGAUCACAGAUUACAGAGCUAGAGUGCAAUGGUUUCCCAUGGGAAACCAGGGGCCAGCGGAGUUUCAUCAAGAAACAAGUUACUGCUGGGGCUGGGAGCAGGAUGCUUUCACUCCACAGCGCAGGAGGAUUUACUGUAACACAAACCCUUCAUGCAGGUGAUUGACUGCUACUGCUACCCGCGACAGCCUGAAAUCUGCUGCCUUUGUGUCCUUACUGUUAGUACAAUUGUUCAUUCAUGGACCAAGAGACUCCCAGCGCAUCCAAUUCCAGCCAGGCAAAGUGGCUGCGAUCCUCGUCAAAAAUCAAUUGACUGAAGUCAGACCCCACAUCUCCGGUUGCUAAGGACAGGCAAAUCCACAUUGCUCAUGCUUAGACCAGUGGUGCAGAACAUCACUUAGUGCUCACAGCUGCCUUAUGGCAACAGAGGUGGAAGAGAAGCUGCAGAGACAUGAGGAGCAGGAUCCUGUGCUGCCUGGGAGUCCUGAACGUGUGGAUGGGAAGUAACCUUGAGAGGGGGUCUGUUCCUUGACCAUGUGUUGAAAAUGCCCAUUCAGUUCUGGAGGAAAGUAUUGUCUGUUUACUUAUUUAUGCAGUUAAAAAGAUUGAGGACAUUGCUGUCAACCUCCAGGGCUCUGAAUCCAUACCCUGUCACCUUUAUCAGGUGCCCUAGUGCCCUAAAUUACUAGCUAGCUGCACUUAGCCCUGGUUGACCAUUGCAGCAGCCCCACAGGAAUAAAGACACACUCUUUUCCAAGUGUGUAUGCAGCCCACGUUAGUUUUGGUGACCUAAAAUUGCUGCCUUUCCCUCUACAGAGAGGAUGGAUUGGUCUCAUACUCCUCACUGCUGCCUGGAACCUUUGUCGCAAUGCCCCAUUGCAUCUUGGCAGCCUCACUGUUGUUUUGGGGAUGAGUCACAGGAGACUGAGCUAUCUGGUCAGAAAGGCUCAGUUUCGGUGCUGAGUCACUGCAAAGACAUUGUGGGCAGCUCGGGGCUGUGUUUGUGUUAUGCCUCCCGUUUCACAAAGGACAUUUGCUUAUUUUUGCUUGUCUAAAAGGUCACGCAUCCACGUGCAUUUACUUACUGGUGUUCCUCCAGCACAUCUGGACGAGGAUGGUGUGGCCGCUUUGUGGUCCUCACUACGUAACACGAAGUCUUCAUUGUGGUGCAUCACCCUCAUCUUCACUGUGGCUGCCUCCAGCCUGGCUCUGUCUCCAAGGCAGAUUCCAUUUCUUUUUUCUUUUUUUUCCAAAUAAAACCAAUAUUGCUAUUGCUAUGUAUUAUUUAUGCUGCGGAAAACAUUGAGAGGAAGAAAUGGGAAAAAUUAGCUCAUUCUUUCUAGAAUCUGCAAGCAGCUGAAAGACAAAGAAUAUAGAAUUAACAAAAAAAACAAAAAAACCCAACAACCUCAGCUAAUUUUGGAAAGUUUCGUCUUCACAAGAUCCACUCAUUUCAUAGCUAAUUCUUUGUAAACCGUUAUUCCUUUUGUUCCAAGUUUGGUAUAGUUUUACAUCAAGCCAAGUUCAAUGAAAGAAGAAAAAGGAGAGAUGGUUUGAAUUAUUCCCCAUCCCCUCACCCCACAAGAAAAAACUUGGGUUUGAAGAUCACAUUUUAAUAUGCAAGAAUCCAUCCAAGGACGCCCUUGCUAAUCUUUCAGAAUGCAGCAUUGUGCUCCUUCAAAGUAUUGAAAGCUGCUUGGAUUGUGAUUGAAUGCAUAACCCUGUAUUAAACUUCUAAUGGCUAACGAGACAGAAUUUGGUUACGAAGGCUGAAAUAUAGAAAAUAUAAAUCAGCAGCGUGCAACAG
ensembl:lncRNA